GACGAACGCUGGCGGCGUGCUUAACACAUGCAAGUCGAACGGAAAGGCCCUGCUUUUGUGGGGUGCUCGAGUGGCGAACGGGUGAGUAACACGUGAGUAACCUGCCCUUGACUUUGGGAUAACUUCAGGAAACUGGGGCUAAUACCGGAUAGGAGCUCCUGCUGCAUGGUGGGGGUUGGAAAGUUUCGGCGGUUGGGGAUGGACUCGCGGCUUAUCAGCUUGUUGGUGGGGUAGUGGCUUACCAAGGCUUUGACGGGUAGCCGGCCUGAGAGGGUGACCGGCCACAUUGGGACUGAGAUAAGGCCCAGACUCCUACGGGAGGCAGCAGUGGGGAAUAUUGCACAAUGGGCGGAAGCCUGAUGCAGCAAAGCCGCGUGCGGGAUGACGGCCUUCGGGUUGUAAACCGCUUUCGCCUGUGACGAAGCGUGAGUGACGGUAAUGGGUAAAGAAGCACCGGCUAACUACGUG
rnacentral:rRNA from 1 species